GGUUAAGUUAGAAAGGGCGCACGGUGGAUGCCUUGACACUAGGAGUCGAUGAAGGACGGGACUAACGCCGAUAUGCUUCGGGGAGCUGUAAGUAAGCUUUGAUCCGAAGAUUUCCGAAUGGGGAAACCCACCAUACGUAAUGGUAUGGUAUCCUUAUCUGAAUACAUAGGGUAAGGAAGACAGACCCAGGGAACUGAAACAUCUAAGUACCUGGAGGAAGAGAAAGCAAAUGCGAUUUCCUGAGUAGCGGCGAGCGAAACGGAACAUAGCCCAAACCAAGAGGCUUGCCUCUUGGGGUUGUAGGACAUUCUAUACGGAGUUACAAAGGAACGAGGUAGACGAAGCGACCUGGAAAGGUCCGUCGUAGAGGGUAACAACCCCGUAGUCGAAACUUCGUUCUCUCUUGAAUGUAUCCUGAGUACGGCGGAACACGUGAAAUUCCGUCGGAAUCUGGGAGGACCAUCUCCUAAGGCUAAAUACUCCCUAGUGAUCGAUAGUGAACCAGUACCGUGAGGGAAAGGUGAAAAGCACCCCGGAAGGGGAGUGAAAGAGAUCCUGAAACCGUGUGCCUACAAAUAGUCAGAGCCCGUUAACGGGUGAUGGCGUGCCUUUUGUAGAAUGAACCGGCGAGUUACGAUCCCGUGCGAGGUUAAGCUGAAGAGGCGGAGCCGCAGCGAAAGCGAGUCUGAAUAGGGCGUUUAGUACGUGGUCGUAGACCCGAAACCAGGUGAUCUACCCAUGUCCAGGGUGAAGUUCAGGUAACACUGAAUGGAGGCCCGAACCCACGCACGUUGAAAAGUGCGGGGAUGAGGUGUGGGUAGCGGAGAAAUUCCAAUCGAACCUGGAGAUAGCUGGUUCUCCCCGAAAUAGCUUUAGGGCUAGCCUUAAGUGUAAGAGUCUUGGAGGUAGAGCACUGAUUGGACUAGGGGUCCUCAUCGGAUUACCGAAUUCAGUCAAACUCCGAAUGCCAAUGACUUAUCCUUAGGAGUCAGACUGCGAGUGAUAAGAUCCGUAGUCAAAAGGGAAACAGCCCAGACCGCCAGCUAAGGUCCCAAAGUGUGUAUUAAGUGGAAAAGGAUGUGGAGUUGCUUAGACAACUAGGAUGUUGGCUUAGAAGCAGCCACCAUUUAAAGAGUGCGUAAUAGCUCACUAGUCGAGUGACUCUGCGCCGAAAAUGUACCGGGGCUAAAUACACCACCGAAGCUGCGGAUUGAUACCAAUGGUAUCAGUGGUAGGGGAGCGUUCUAAGGACAGUGAAGUCAGACCGGAAGGACUGGUGGAGUGCUUAGAAGUGAGAAUGCCGGUAUGAGUAGCGAAAGACGGGUGAGAAUCCCGUCCACCGAAUGCCUAAGGUUUCCUGAGGAAGGCUCGUCCGCUCAGGGUUAGUCAGGACCUAAGCCGAGGCCGACAGGCGUAGGCGAUGGACAACAGGUUGAUAUUCCUGUACCACCUCUUUAUCGUUUGAGCAAUGGAGGGACGCAGAAGGAUAGAAGAAGCGUGCGAUUGGUUGUGCACGUCCAAGCAGUUAGGCUGAUAAGUAGGCAAAUCCGCUUAUCGUGAAGGCUGAGCUGUGAUGGGGAAGCUCCUUAUGGAGCGAAGUCUUUGAUUCCCCGCUGCCAAGAAAAGCUUCUAGCGAGAUAAAAGGUGCCUGUACCGCAAACCGACACAGGUAGGCGAGGAGAGAAUCCUAAGGUGUGCGAGAGAACUCUGGUUAAGGAACUCGGCAAAAUGACCCCGUAACUUCGGGAGAAGGGGUGCUUUCUUAACGGAAAGCCGCAGUGAAUAGGCCCAAGCGACUGUUUAGCAAAAACACAGCUCUCUGCGAAGCCGUAAGGCGAAGUAUAGGGGGUGACACCUGCCCGGUGCUGGAAGGUUAAGGAGAGGGGUUAGCGUAAGCGAAGCUCUGAACUGAAGCCCCAGUAAACGGCGGCCGUAACUAUAACGGUCCUAAGGUAGCGAAAUUCCUUGUCGGGUAAGUUCCGACCCGCACGAAAGGUGUAACGAUUUGGGCACUGUCUCAACCAGAGACUCGGUGAAAUUAUAGUACCUGUGAAGAUGCAGGUUACCCGCGACAGGACGGAAAGACCCCGUGGAGCUUUACUGUAGCCUGAUAUUGAAUUUUGGUACAGUUUGUACAGGAUAGGCGGGAGCCUUUGAAACCGGAGCGCUAGCUUCGGUGGAGGCGCUGGUGGGAUACCGCCCUGACUGUAUUGAAAUUCUAACCUACGGGUCUUAUCGACCCGGGAGACAGUGUCAGGUGGGCAGUUUGACUGGGGCGGUCGCCUCCUAAAGUGUAACGGAGGCGCCCAAAGGUUCCCUCAGAAUGGUUGGAAAUCAUUCGUAGAGUGCAAAGGCAUAAGGGAGCUUGACUGCGAGACCUACAAGUCGAGCAGGGACGAAAGUCGGGCUUAGUGAUCCGGUGGUUCCGCAUGGAAGGGCCAUCGCUCAACGGAUAAAAGCUACCCCGGGGAUAACAGGCUUAUCUCCCCAAGAGUCCACAUCGACGGGGAGGUUUGGCACCUCGAUGUCGGCUCAUCGCAUCCUGGGGCUGUAGUCGGUCCCAAGGGUUGGGCUGUUCGCCCAUUAAAGCGGUACGCGAGCUGGGUUCAGAACGUCGUGAGACAGUUCGGUCCCUAUCCGUCGUGGGCGUAGGAAAUUUGAGAGGAGCUGUCCUUAGUACGAGAGGACCGGGAUGGACGCACCGCUGGUGUACCAGUUGUUCUGCCAAGGGCAUAGCUGGGUAGCUAUGUGCGGAAGGGAUAAGUGCUGAAAGCAUCUAAGCAUGAAGCCCCCCUCAAGAUGAGAUUUCCCAUAGCGUAAGCUAGUAAGAUCCCUGAAAGAUGAUCAGGUUGAUAGGUUCGAGGUGGAAGCAUGGUGACAUGUGGAGCUGACGAAUACUAAUAGAUCGAGGACUUAACCAU
rnacentral:rRNA from 1 species